ensembl:lncRNA
GCUUCUGCCCAGAUCCAUGGCCUCCACGGUCCAGAGCCUGACAAGGCCCAAGUCUCUGAUUCCAAGUGGCUGAGAUCCUAGUGCUUCAAGCCCACCUUUCUGUCCUGGCCUCUGGGUUCAUGGAGAGAUUGCUUAAGGAGCCAGUAAAAAUCCUUUGCUCACUGUACUUCGAGUCAAGCUGAACUGGAGCGUGUGGCUUUGAACUGGAGCAAAACAUGCAAUUCCCUUAUUUGUUUCAUCCAGUCAAACUGACUUUUCCACCCCUGACUGCAGCAUCCCGCCUGCAGCAGCCAUGACAGCCUGUGCAGUGAGCCCUGCGGAGGAGGGUUCUUUACCACAAGUGCCACCUGGAACUAUGAGUCUAUUCCCACCCAGCCCCAAGACAGUGCCGCUUGAUUUGGAGAUUCUUAGCUGAGACUGAAUCUAAGCCCACAGUGAGGAAGAAGAAAGUGGGGCUGGAACAGAAGGAGAUACAUAGCAUCCGGCAAACCUAUCAACCCGACAUUCCAGGGUCUGCCCACCAGCAAGCCCUCAAGCCCUAAACACCCCAGUACCCCACAUCUGAAGAUUUCUACAAAACUGGCUCUGAGUGCCCACACGGCAGCUGCCUGCCGAAGCGAGCGUAACCGAGCCACAAAGUGCAGACGAUGUCAGUUGAAUUUAAAAGACAAAACAAUAAAUAAUCAGGAAGGCUGACGAGGAAGAAAGAGCAGCUGGGACGUGAAGGAUGAGUACCAAGGCACGUGGAAGCACUUAGACCCAUGCUCAGCUGUCAUGGUAACCACAGAGAUCAAUUACUCGAGGAAACGUCAGCUUGGGAAGAAGACAUCUCCUGGGCAUUUAGGGUCCUGAAGACCUUCAGGGCGGGGACCCCUCAUGGCCACAGUUUAAUGAUCUUUGGGCAGAAAGGGGAGGUGGGGUGGCUCUCAUGGAGGUCAUCUUUACCCAGAAACUUCCGAGCAAGAAUCAGAGUGUUGGCCCCGGACCCCUCGGCAGCGUAGUCUCUGUGCUUCCCCCCGGGAGACCAUCCUCUCGUCUAGAACAUGGGACUCCUAGGAUGGGGCCUCUCCAGAGUCUCCCCGCCUCCCCCAGCCCAGAACAGCAGCGAGGCGGGGGUUCUCCCCUCCCGAGACUGGUUCUGAGACUUGCUCUGCAGCCCUGGCAGGGGUCGGUGACCUUGCUGAGUAGAUGCUGCCAAAUGUUGGGGUGCAAGAGGCUGCGAGGGGCACCUGGGCACACCCCUGAGGCUGGUCCUGGAAGUUCCUGGAGAAGAACAGCUCCGGUGAGAAGCUGGGGCUGGAUGCGGAGUCGCAUGUGGGGCACCUGUCCUCAGGCCUUCGCAGCGUCAUCUUCCCUUGAAGAUCCGGAUUUUGUUGAUGGACGCCAAGGUGGCCGUCACGUUGGACUCGAAGUCCCCAUCGUGUACCCCAGUCUUCCGAAAAGCCCCCGCCGAUGGGUUGUUUUCCCAGUAGUGGUGCCAGUUCCCUUUGCUGUCCGCCCCGAAGCCAUACAAGUCCACCUGCCAAAGGCAAAGCAAAGGGCCCACCUCCGCGGAGGUACAACCUCUUCUCCAAGGACUGAAGAGCAGAACUUCAAAGUCCAGCAGUCCGCCCCAGGCCCCAGUUCUGCCUCCUGCUGGUGUAACCCGUGA